UGGGGAAUAUUGCGCAAUGGGGGAAACCCUGACGCAGCAACGCCGCGUGAAGGAUGAAGGUCUUCGGAUUGUAAACUUCUGUCUUUAGGGACGAAAAAAAUGACGGUACCUAAGGAGGAAGCCACGGCUAACUACGUGCCAGCAGCCGCGGUAAUACGUAGGUGGCAAGCGUUGUCCGGAUUUACUGGGUGUAAAGGGCGUGUAGACGGGUUAGAAAGUCAGAUGUGAAAUGCCGCAGCUUAACUGCGGAGCUGCAUUUGAAACUUCUAAUCUUGAGUGUGGGAGAGGAAAGCGGAAUUCCUAGUGUAGCGGUGAAAUGCGUAGAUAUUAGGAGGAACACCGGUGGCGAAGGCGGCUUUCUGGACCAUAACUGACGUUGAGGCGCGAAAGCGUGGGGAGCAAACA
rnacentral:rRNA from 1 species